GGGUUGUGAGGUUAAGCGACUAAGCGUACACGGUGGAUGCCCUGGCAGUCAGAGGCGAUGAAGGACGUGCUAAUCUGCGAAAAGCGUCGGUAAGGUGAUAUGAACCGUUACAGCCGGCGAUGUCCGAAUGGGGAAACCCAGUGCAAUUCGUUGCACUAUCGUUAACUGAAUACAUAGGUUAACGAGGCGAACCGGGGGAACUGAAACAUCUAAGUACCCCGAGGAAAAGAAAUCAACCGAGAUUCCCCCAGUAGCGGCGAGCGAACGGGGAGCAGCCCAGAGUCUGAAUCAGCUUGUGUGUUAGUGGAACGGUCUGGAAAGUCCGACGGUACAGGGUGAUAGUCCCGUACACCAAAAUGCACAGGCUGUGAACUCGAAGAGUAGGGCGGGACACGUGGUAUCCUGUCUGAAUAUGGGGGGACCAUCCUCCAAGGCUAAAUACUCCUGACUGACCGAUAGUGAACCAGUACCGUGAGGGAAAGGCGAAAAGAACCCCGGCGAGGGGAGUGAAAAAGAACCUGAAACCGUGUACGUACAAGCAGUGGGAGCACCUUCGGGUGUGACUGCGUACCUUUUGUAUAAUGGGUCAGCGACUUAUAUUCUGUAGCAAGGUUAACCGUAUAGGGGAGCCGCAGGGAAACCGAGUCUUAACUGGGCGUUAAGUUGCAGGGUAUAGACCCGAAACCCGGUGAUCUAGCCAUGGGCAGGUUGAAGGUUGGGUAACACUAACUGGAGGACCGAACCGACUAAUGUUGAAAAAUUAGCGGAUGACUUGUGGCUGGGGGUGAAAGGCCAAUCAAACCGGGAGAUAGCUGGUUCUCCCCGAAAGCUAUUUAGGUAGCGCCUCGUGAAUUCAUCUUCGGGGGUAGAGCACUGUUUCGGCUAGGGGGUCAUCCCGACUUACCAACCCGAUGCAAACUACGAAUACCGAAGAAUGUUAUCACGGGAGACACACGGCGGGUGCUAACGUCCGUCGUGAAGAGGGAAACAACCCAGACCGCCAGCUAAGGUCCCAAAGUCAUGGUUAAGUGGGAAACGAUGUGGGAAGGCACAGACAGCCAGGAUGUUGGCUUAGAAGCAGCCAUCAUUUAAAGAAAGCGUAAUAGCUCACUGGUCGAGUCGGCCUGCGCGGAAGAUGUAACGGGGCUAAACCAUGCACCGAAGCUGCGGCAGCGACACUAUGUGUUGUUGGGUAGGGGAGCGUUCUGUAAGCCUGCGAAGGUGACCUGUGAGGGUUGCUGGAGGUAUCAGAAGUGCGAAUGCUGACAUAAGUAACGAUAAAGCGGGUGAAAAGCCCGCUCGCCGGAAGACCAAGGGUUCCUGUCCAACGUUAAUCGGGGCAGGGUGAGUCGACCCCUAAGGCGAGGCCGAAAGGCGUAGUCGAUGGGAAACAGGUUAAUAUUCCUGUACUUGGUGUUACUGCGAAGGGGGGACGGAGAAGGCUAUGUUAGCCGGGCGACGGUUGUCCCGGUUUAAGCAUGUAGGCUGGUUGUCCAGGCAAAUCCGGAUAAUCAAGGCUGAGGUGUGAUGACGAGGCACUACGGUGCUGAAGUAACAAAUGCCCUGCUUCCAGGAAAAGCCUCUAAGCAUCAGGUAACAUUAAAUCGUACCCCAAACCGACACAGGUGGUCAGGUAGAGAAUACCAAGGCGCUUGAGAGAACUCGGGUGAAGGAACUAGGCAAAAUGGUGCCGUAACUUCGGGAGAAGGCACGCUGGUGUGUAGGUGAAGUCCCUGCGGAUGGAGCUGAGACCAGUCGAAGAUACCAGCUGGCUGCAACUGUUUAUUAAAAACACAGCACUGUGCAAACACGAAAGUGGACGUAUACGGUGUGACGCCUGCCCGGUGCCGGAAGGUUAAUUGAUGGGGUUAUCCGUAAGGAGAAGCUCUUGAUCGAAGCCCCGGUAAACGGCGGCCGUAACUAUAACGGUCCUAAGGUAGCGAAAUUCCUUGUCGGGUAAGUUCCGACCUGCACGAAUGGCGUAAUGAUGGCCAGGCUGUCUCCACCCGAGACUCAGUGAAAUUGAACUCGCUGUGAAGAUGCAGUGUACCCGCGGCAAGACGGAAAGACCCCGUGAACCUUUACUAUAGCUUGACACUGAACAUUGAGCCUUGAUGUGUAGGAUAGGUGGGAGGCUUUGAAGCGUGGACGCCAGUCUGCGUGGAGCCAACCUUGAAAUACCACCCUUUAAUGUUUGAUGUUCUAACGUUGGCCCCUGACCGGGGUUGCGGACAGUGUCUGGUGGGUAGUUUGACUGGGGCGGUCUCCUCCCAAAGCGUAACGGAGGAGCACGAAGGUUAGCUAAUCCUGGUCGGACAUCAGGAGGUUAGUGCAAUGGCAUAAGCUAGCUUGACUGCGAGCGUGACGGCGCGAGCAGGUGCGAAAGCAGGUCAUAGUGAUCCGGUGGUUCUGAAUGGAAGGGCCAUCGCUCAACGGAUAAAAGGUACUCCGGGGAUAACAGGCUGAUACCGCCCAAGAGUUCAUAUCGACGGCGGUGUUUGGCACCUCGAUGUCGGCUCAUCACAUCCUGGGGCUGAAGUAGGUCCCAAGGGUAUGGCUGUUCGCCAUUUAAAGUGGUACGCGAGCUGGGUUUAGAACGUCGUGAGACAGUUCGGUCCCUAUCUGCCGUGGGCGCUGGAGAAUUGAGGGGGGCUGCUCCUAGUACGAGAGGACCGGAGUGGACGCAUCACUGGUGUUCGGGUUGUCAUGCCAAUGGCACUGCCCGGUAGCUAAAUGCGGAAGAGAUAAGUGCUGAAAGCAUCUAAGCACGAAACUUGCCCCGAGAUGAGUUCUCCCUGAGACUUUAAGUCUCCUGAAGGAACGUUGAAGACGACGACGUUGAUAGGCCGGGUGUGUAAGCGCAGCGAUGCGUUGAGCUAACCGGUACUAAUGAACCGUGAGGCUUAACCUUACAACGCCGAAG
rnacentral:rRNA from 1 species